rnacentral:rRNA from 1 species
GACGAACGCUGGCGGCGUGCUUAACACAUGCAAGUCGAACGGAAAGGCCCUGCUUGCAUGGUACUCGAGUGUCGAACGGGUGAGUAACACGUGGGUGAUCUGCCCUGCACUUCGGGAUAAGCCUGGGAAACUGGGUCUAAUACCGGAUAGGAGCCAUUUUUAGUGUGAUGGUUGGAAAGUUUUUUCGGUGUAGGAUGAGCUCGCGGCCUAUCAGCUUGUUGGUGGGGUAAUGGCCUACCAAGGCGGCGACGGGUAGCCGGCCUGAGAGGGUGGACGGCCACAUUGGGACUGAGAUACGGCCCAGAAUCCUACGGGAGGCAGCAGUGGGGAAUAUUGCACAAUGGGCGCAAGCCUGAUGCAGCGACGCCGCGUGGGGGAUGACGGCCUUCGGGUUGUAAACUCCGUUCGCUAGGGACGAAGCUUUUUGUGACGGUACCUAGAGAAGAAGCACCGGCUAACUACGUG